GUCACGCACACUGAGCAAGCCUACAAAAUGCUAUUCCGUUGGUACCUCACCCCCCAACGCCUGGCCAUCAUGCACCAAAUACCAGCCAACACCUGCUGGAAACAAUGCGGAGAGACAGGAACGUUCCUCCACUGUUGGUGGACGUGCCCGAAACUCCAACCACUUUGGCAAGACACCACACGCCUAAUCUCCAAACUAAUAGACAAACCUUGUCCCUUAGACCCUUGGAUGCUCCUACUCUCCAAGCCAAUAG